rnacentral:rRNA from 1 species
GACGGAGGGUGCAAGCGUUAUCCGGAAUUAUUGGGCGUAAAGCGUCCGCAGGUGGCUGUUCAAGUCUGCUGUCAAAGCGCAGAGCUUAACUCUGUACAGGCGGUGGAAACUGAAGAGCUAGAGUAUGGUAGGGGUAGAGGGAAUUCCCGGUGUAGCGGUGAAAUGCGUAGAUAUCGGGAAGAACAUCGGUGGCGAAAGCGCUCUACUGGACCGCAACUGACACUCAGGGACGAAAGCUAGGGGAGCGAAUGGG